rnacentral:lncRNA from 1 species
AUGUGAAGCCAAACUACUUGAAGGGUCUUUCUCAUGUACUUAACAGGCUGCCCAAGCCUGUACUCUUGCCAGAGCUGCCCACGCUUCUUUCCUUGCUGCUGGAGGCCCUGUCCUGCCCUGACUGUGUGGUGCAGCUCUCCACCCUCAGCUGCCUUCAGCCUCUUCUACUGGAAGCACCCCAAGUCAUGAGUCUUCACGUGGACACCCUCGUCACCAAGUUUCUGAACCUCAGCUCUAGCCCUUCCAUGGUGCGUUGAGCCCCAGCAACUCUUAGGCACCAGCAUCUCUCCCUGGGCAUGCUCUCACCUCCUUGUGGUUGUGUUCCAGGCUGUCCGGAUCGCCGCACUGCAGUGCAUGCAUGCUCUCACUCGCCUGCCCACCCCUGUGCUGCUGCCGUACAAACCACAGGUGAUUCGGGCCUUAGCCAAACCCCUGGAUGACAAGAAGAGACUGGUGCGCAAGGAAGCAGUGUCAGCCAGAGGGGAGUGGUUUCUGUUGGGGAGCCCUGGCAGCUGAGCCCUCAGUCCUGGCCUAGACUGUUCUGACAAUCUAACCUGGGAUUACUAACUGUUGAGCCAUCUUCCCCAAAGCAGGGAAACCACUGGUCUCUGACUGCCUUUCCCACAGACACAGCACAAAUGCUAGGCCUCUGUUGCAUGGCUGUACAAAGAACAUAAGAGUCCAUAUUUCUAGUGGAUUUGUAAAAUAAGUGUGUGUGAGACACUUGCGUUUGAAGAAAGAUCUAGGGUCCUGGGUCUCUUGCAUUUAUAUGUCAGAAAAGGGGCGAUAUGCUGCUGAGGGGUGAGUGCAUAUGAGUGUGGCCCUGAGGACCAGGGCUGGCAGAUGUUGUCUACCUGCUGAAGAAUAAAGAUUUCUUUUGGU